CACGAGAGGAGGAUUAUAUAAGAAUCAAUGGAGCUGUCACUACCAUGAACUACCCCACGAUCUGGCAUAUAGGGUACAAUCGCAGAUAAAUACGGUAUAAGCACCACGCCUACACAAUAUCUAUCAUUUACCCAUGGAUCCUAUAACACCCUAUGUGUUAAGCAUGCACUUAAUCUCAUAAAAUAUUCAUAAGCAUUCUCGUC
rnacentral:lncRNA from 1 species